ACUGGGGAUCUAGAGUGUGCGAGAGGUAUGCGGAAUGCGUGGUGUAGCGGUGAAAUGCAUAGAUAUCACGCAGAACCCCGAUUGCGAAGGCAGCAUACCGGUGCACAACUGACGCUGAGGCACGAAAGCGUGGGUAUCGAACAGGAUUAGAUACCCUGGUAGUCCACGCAGUAAACGAUGAAUGCUAACUGUCCGGUGCGAGUGAGCGCUGGGCGGUACAGCGAAAGCGUUAAGCAUUCCACCUGGGGAGUACGCCGGCAACGGUGAAACUCAAAGGAAUUGACGGGGGCCCGCACAAGCGGAGGAACAUGUGGUUUAAUUCGAUGAUACGCGAGGAACCUUACCCGGGCUCAAACGCAGGCUGACGGGUCCCGAAAGGGGCCUUUCUUCGGACAUUCUGCGAGGUGCUGCAUGGUUGUCGUCAGCUCGUGCCGUGAGGUGUCGGCUUAAGUGCCAUAACGAGCGCAACCCCUGUCCACAGUUGCCAGCAGGUAAAGCUGGGGACUCUGUGGAGACUGCCGGCGCAAGCUGCGAGGAAGGCGGGGAUGACGUCAAAUCAGCACGGCCCUUACGUCCGGGGCGACACACGUGUUACAAUGGCAGGUACAGCGGGAUGCCACGGGGCGACCCGGCGCUGAACCCGAAAACCUGUCUCAGUUCGGAUUGGAGUCUGCAACCCGACUCCAUGAAGCUGGAUUCGCUAGUAAUCGCGGAUCAGAAUGCCGCGGUGAAUACGUUCCCGGGUCUUGUACACACCGCCCGUCACACCAUGGGAGUCGGAAAUGCCCGAAGUCGGUGACCCAACCGAAAGGGGGGAGCCGCCGAAGGCAGGUCGGAUAACUGGGGUGAAGUCGUAACAAGGUAACCGUAA
rnacentral:rRNA from 1 species